GCUUAGUGGCAGACGGGUGAGUAACGCGUGAGUAACCUGCCUUCAGGAGGGAAUAACACACCGAAAGGUGUGCUAAUACCGCAUAACACAUUAGUAUCGCAUGAUACAGAUGUACAAAGAAUUAUCGGACAAGGAUGGGCAUGCGGGACAUUAGGUAGUUGGGGGUGUAACGGACCACCAAGCCGACGAUGUCUAGGGGUUCUGAGAGGAAGGUCCCCCACACUGGUACUGAGACACGGACCAGACUCCUACGGGAGGCAGCAGUGAGGAAUAUUGGUCAAUGGGCGAGAGCCUGAACCAGCCAAGUCGCGUGAGGGAAGACGGUACUAAGUAUUGUAAACCUCUUUUGUCAGGGAACAAAGAGACCACGUGUGGUAAGAUGAGUGUACCUGAAGAAAAAGCAUCGGCUAACUCCGUG
rnacentral:rRNA from 1 species